rnacentral:rRNA from 1 species
CCCUUAGAUGUUCUGGGCUGCACGCGCGCUACACUGAAGCGUUCAACGAGUAUUUCACCUUGCCCGGGAGGGUUGGGUAAUCUUUUUAAAACGCUUCGUGAUGGGGAUAGAUUAUUGCAAUUAUUAAUCUUCAACGAGGAAUUCCUAGUAAGCGCGAGUCAUCAGCUCGUGCUGAUUACGUCCCUGCCCUUUGUACACACCGCCCGUCGCUCCUACCGAUUGAGUGCUCAGGUGAAUAAUUCGGACUGCAGCAAUGUUUGGAUCCCGAACGUUGCAGCGGAAAGUUUAGUGAACCUUAUCACUUAGAGGAAGGAGAAGUCGUAACA